AUGGCGGACCUGGUCUCCGACGUGCUCCUGUCCUUCUUCUGCUGCUGCUUCUACCCUCCCGGGGGGCACCACGACACGCGACACUACCGCGGCCACCCGGCGGGCAGAAGCUCCGCGCAUCGUCACCACCACGGCGCCGCGGGUCGUACGGUGGCCAGUCGGAGCAGACCGGCCCUGUCUCUCCAGACGGUGGAGCUCAAGGUCCGGAUGUGCUGCGACGGCUGUGAGCGAGCCGUGAUGCAGUCUCUCGUGAACCUCCGAGGAGUGGACAGCGUGGAGGUGGACGCCGGGACGGGGAAGGUGAGGGUGACGGGGUACGUGGAGCGGGGAAAGGUGCUGCGGGAGGUACGCCGCCGGAGCGGGAAGAAGGCGGACUUCUGGCCGAGCGGCGGCACGCCGCUGCGCUUCGCGUCUCCCGGGGGCUGCUUCGGCGGCAGCGAGCCGUACCGCGACACCUACAGCUACCACCGACGCGGCUACGGUGAUGGUGGUGAUCGUCACGGCCGCGCCCGCAGGCCUGCUCGUGGCAGCGACGCCGUCAGCAACAUGUUCAACGACGAUGAUGUCAACGCGUGCGCGAUCAUGUGA
rnacentral:rRNA from 1 species